ACCUGAAACCGUGUACGUACAAGCAGUGGGAGCCUCUUAAUGGGGUGACUGCGUACCUUUUGUAUAAUGGGUCAGCGACUUAUAUUCUGUAGCAAGGUUAACCGAAUAGGGGAGCCGAAGGGAAACCGAGUCUUAACUGGGCGUUAAGUUGCAGGGUAUAGACCCGAAACCCGGUGAUCUAGCCAUGGGCAGGUUGAAGGUUGGGUAACACUAACUGGAGGACCGAACCGACUAAUGUUGAAAAAUUAGCGGAUGACUUGUGGCUGGGGGUGAAAGGCCAAUCAAACCGGGAGAUAGCUGGUUCUCCCCGAAAGCUAUUUAGGUAGCGCCUCGUGAAUUCAUCUCCGGGGGUAGAGCACUGUUUCGGCAAGGGGGUCAUCCCGACUUACCAACCCGAUGCAAACUGCGAAUACCGGAGAAUGUUAUCACGGGAGACACACGGCGGGUGCUAACGUCCGUCGUGAAGAGGGAAACAACCCAGACCGCCAGCUAAGGUCCCAAAGUCAUGGUUAAGUGGGAAACGAUGUGGGAAGGCCCAGACAGCCAGGAUGUUGGCUUAGAAGCAGCCAUCAUUUAAAGAAAGCGUAAUAGCUCACUGGUCGAGUCGGCCUGCGCGGAAGAUGUAACGGGGCUAAACCAUGCACCGAAGCUGCGGCAGCGACACUAUGUGUUGUUGGGUAGGGGAGCGUUCUGUAAGCCUGUGAAGGUGGCCUGUGAGGGUUGCUGGAGGUAUCAGAAGUGCGAAUGCUGACAUAAGUAACGAUAAAGCGGGUGAAAAGCCCGCUCGCCGGAAGACCAAGGGUUCCUGUCCAACGUUAAUCGGGGCAGGGUGAGUCGACCCCUAAGGCGAGGCCGAAAGGCGUAGUCGAUGGGAAACAGGUUAAUAUUCCUGUACUUGGUGUUACUGCGAAGGGGGGACGGAGAAGGCUAUGUUGGCCGGGCGACGGUUGUCCCGGUUUAAGCGUGUAGGCUGGUUUUCCAGGCAAAUCCGGAAAAUCAAGGCUGAGGCGUGAUGACGAGGCACUACGGUGCUGAAGCGACAAAUGCCCUGCUUCCAGGAAAAGCCUCUAAGCAUCAGGUAACAUCAAAUCGUACCCCAAACCGACACAGGUGGUCAGGUAGAGAAUACCAAGGCGCUUGAGAGAACUCGGGUGAAGGAACUAGGCAAAAUGGUGCCGUAACUUCGGGAGAAGGCACGCUGAUAUGUAGGUGAAGCGACUUGCUCGUGGAGCUGAAAUCAGUCGAAGAUACCAGCUGGCUGCAACUGUUUAUUAAAAACACAGCACUGUGCAAACACGAAAGUGGACGUAUACGGUGUGACGCCUGCCCGGUGCCGGAAGGUUAAUUGAUGGGGUUAGCGGUAACGCGAAGCUCUUGAUCGAAGCCCCGGUAAACGGCGGCCGUAACUAUAACGGUCCUAAGGUAGCGAAAUUCCUUGUCGGGUAAGUUCCGACCUGCACGAAUGGCGUAAUGAUGGCCAGGCUGUCUCCACCCGAGACUCAGUGAAAUUGAACUCGCUGUGAAGAUGCAGUGUACCCGCGGCAAGACGGAAAGACCCCGUGAACCUUUACUAUAGCUUGACACUGAACAUUGAGCCUUGAUGUGUAGGAUAGGUGGGAGGCUUUGAAGUGUGGACGCCAGUCUGCAUGGAGCCGACCUUGAAAUACCACCCUUUAAUGUUUGAUGUUCUAACGUGGGCCCCUUACCGGGGUUGCGGACAGUGUCUGGUGGGUAGUUUGACUGGGGCGGUCUCCUCCUAAAGAGUAACGGAGGAGCACGAAGGUUGGCUAAUCCUGGUCGGACAUCAGGAGGUUAGUGCAAUGGCAUAAGCCAGCUUGACUGCGAGCGUGACGGCGCGAGCAGGUGCGAAAGCAGGUCAUAGUGAUCCGGUGGUUCUGAAUGGAAGGGCCAUCGCUCAACGGAUAAAAGGUACUCCGGGGAUAACAGGCUGAUACCGCCCAAGAGUUCAUAUCGACGGCGGUGUUUGGCACCUCGAUGUCGGCUCAUCACAUCCUGGGGCUGAAGUAGGUCCCAAGGGUAUGGCUGUUCGCCAUUUAAAGUGGUACGCGAGCUGGGUUUAGAACGUCGUGAGACAGUUCGGUCCCUAUCUGCCGUGGGCGCUGGAGAACUGAGGGGGGCUGCUCCUAGUACGAGAGGACCGGAGUGGACGCAUCACUGGUGUUCGGGUUGUCAUGCCAAUGGCACUGCCCGGUAGCUAAAUGCGGAAGAGAUAAGUGCUGAAAGCAUCUAAGCACGAAACUUGCCCCGAGAUGAGUUCUCCCUGACUCCUUGAGAGUCCUGAAGGAACGUUGAAGACGACGACGUUGAUAGGCCGGGUGUGUAAGCGCAGCGAUGCGUUGAGCUAACCGGUACUAAUGAACCGUGAGGCUUAACCUUACAACGCCGAAG
rnacentral:rRNA from 2 species